CAAAGGGAUACAGAAAAAAAAGGGGGUAAGGGGGGGAUACUUUGCACCGCCUUAUGCUUUAUUUAAAAUCCCAAUACCAGGCUUAGCCAUUUCUCCCAUAAACCUAUGCCAUGGGUGCCAUAUUUUCCAGUAAAUGCCACUAUUAUUGUGAUAAAUAUAUGUUAAUUCCUCUAAUGUUCUUAUUUCUUCCACAGAAUUUACCCAAUUGUUAUAUGUCGGCGCCUCUUUAUUCUUCCAAUUCCUAGGAAUCAAGACCUUGGCUGCUUGCAUUAGGUGAAAGGAGCCUGAGGACAGAAUCUGAGACUACUGCACCCUCCUCCCAUUAUAACUAUGCGGAACUGUCUGUAAGUUGGGCUCUUUUUCAGUAUUCCUCAGUACAAUAAAGAUGACAAACAACCAAUUCGUUCCUGAGAGAAGAGGAAAGAGAGCUGCCAUACUGGCUUGCAUCCUGGUCAUAGUCAGCAUUUUAGUUGUGUGGAGCCUUGGGAAAGAAAAAUAUUCAUGUGCCCAGAUAAUAUACAGUAUGGCAACUCGUUUUGCCAUUAGUCAAGGCUGCUGUUUUACAAUAUGUAUAUGUGAAUUCAUAGAAGAAAUUAAUCAUUUGCACACCAGAUACGAUGGGCAUUACUGGAGGGCGCUGAAAGCAAGCUUCAACCCAAGCUAUGCUGCAUUUGUCACUGCUGUUCUGUGUUAUGUGUUCUAUGAACCAGACUUGAUGACCAGUUUGCCUCUUACCAUGGACAUAGCCCUGGUUCUGAUCUGUUGGUUGUUAUGCUGGAUUCUUGGGAUUCAGGGCCCAACACCUGCAGCAAUUUCAGAAAUAACUGAGAUGAAACAACUGAAUGUUGCCCAUGGGCUAGCAUGGUCCUAUUAUGUUGGAUAUUUGCAGUUUGUCUUACCAGCAUUAAAAGAAUCCAUACAAAAAUUCAACAAAGAAAACUACAACUUAUUGAAAUUUCCAGAAACCUGCAGGCUGCAUAUCUUGAUUCCAUUAAGCUGCAGACUAUACGGAGAUCUAAAAGAUAUAGAUGAGAACAUCACAUUUCUCAAGGAGAUUCCCCCACUUUGCCUUGACCGUGCAGGGAUUAAGGGAAGAGUAUUUAAAAAUAACGUGUAUCGUAUUUUGGAUGAAGAUGGUCGGCCAUAUUAUUGUGUUGUGGAAUAUGCUACACCCCUGGCAUCCUUGCUUAAAAUGACAGAUAUUCCAAGUGCCGCCUUUAGUGCAGAGGAUCGACUACAACAAACAAAACUUUUCUAUCGGACACUGAAGGAUAUCUUAGAAAAUGCACAUGAAUUACGAAAUACCUAUCGAUUAAUAGUCUAUGAAGAAGCUAAGGAUCACAGCCAACACUUGCUGUCACAAGAAAUCCUGAAGUACAUAAAGCAACAGCAUUCUGAAGAAUACAGCCUCCUGUAACAGAAUACAUCAGGGAUCCAUUAAUCGUUUAUCAGCAUCAAUUAGACCAGGGGUACAAAACCCGCUUGGUCAAAAUGGAUUAGGUCAGGUAAGUGUUCACUAAUUCUAUUGGCAAGUAAUUUUGCAAAUAAUUUUUGAUCUAUGUUAAUAAGGGAAAUUGGCCUAUAACAAGCACAUUCAGUAGCAUUUUUUCCUGGUUUGUGUAUAACUGUAAUGUGGGCUUCUUGGGAUUGUUCUGGAAUUUGAGAGUGUCUAUUCUGUGAGUUAAAUAACUCCAGCAAUAUUGGGAAUAAGAUUUUAUCAAAGAUUUUAUAAUAGCUAGUCGAGAAUCCAUCUGGGCCUGGGCUUUUGCCCAGGGGAAGAUUCUUUAUUGCUUUUUGCAGUUCCUCCUCUUUAAAAGGUUUGUCUAAUUCUUCAACUAUACACUAAUCUAAGGAAGGUAUUUUAAUUUGGGAAAGAAAUUGGUUAAUUUGUUUUUUCUUUAUUUCUCUGUUAGAAUUAUUAGCAUAUUGUUUGUUUAAAUUAUAUAGUCUGGUAUAAUAAUCUUGAAAAAUUUUGCUAUAUCUGUAGUUGUAUGUACCAUUUGUUGCUUAUCAUUUUUCAUUUUUAAAAUGUACGAUUUUAUAAAUUGAGAUUUCAACUUGUUUGCUAGAUAUUUGCCACAUUUCUUACUAUUUUCAUAUAGGUAUUGUUUAAUCCUUGUGUAGGCUUUGUUAGAGAUUGUAUCUAGAAGUAUUUUUAAAUCUUUUCUUUUCUCUUAUAACUCUUGAAAGACCUUAUCUGAAGGUCAACCCGAUACAGAUAGUACAAAACUAGUAUUAAUUAAAUAAAUCUUACACCAAAUCACACUCUUACCCUGUGAGCUUCUCAUCGAAGUAUAUAAAUAUUCAGAUAUAAUGUCUAACCUGCAAGACACAAAAUUUUAUAACAUAUUAAACACAAUUUAAAGAUUUAUGAAGUGGCGGUGCAUUGUGCCCAAAUAAGGAAAUAAGGUAGAUAAGAGUUCUCUUCAAGUGUCAUUGUUUAUGCAAAGGUCGAGUCUUUUUCUCCUCUGGGUUUAGGUGUAGAGGCCAUCUUCUUAGUUUGCUUCAAUGGAGUUAUCAAAAAUUCCGGUAAUUUUUCCAAUGAGAAGUCAGGCAUUGUGAUGAUAUCCCAUCCUGGGAGAGGUGGUUUUUCAAUGUCCAGCUUUUUGCAGAAUUCCUCAGUGUCCAUAGGAGAUUUCAGUACAAUCCAUUGUCCCUCCUUUCUCACCGCUAUGUUAAAAGGGAAUCCCCACUUGAAUUGUAGGCCUUUUUCCUUCAUAGCAUCUGUGAGAGGUUUAAGAUUUCUUCUCUUGCUGAGGGUAUUCCACUAGAUGUCUUGGAAAAUUAUUAUUUUGCUAUCUUCGUAUGUGAUGUUUAUUUCUCUUGCUUUAGAGAUUAUUUCCUCCUUCUCUGUGAAAUUAUGCAGAGCGCAAAGGACAUCUCUGGGAGCUCCAUGAGGUGCAUUUUUUGUCUUAGCCACUCUGUGAAAUCUGUCCAUUUUAAUUUCAGUUGCAGUAUCUCUAUUGAGAAUGCUGUUAAAAAUUUGCCACAGUUCACCUUGAGUAAUUAUUUCAGGGAUGCCUCUUACUCUCAGAUUAACCCUUCUGCUUCUGUUUUCAAAGUCCUCCAUUUGCCUUUCAAGCUCCUCAAUUUGUUGAGCUUGCUUUUUUACAAUCUUAUGCAGAUAUGUAUUGUGUUUAAGUAAUUUCUCUUGCGCUUUUUCUAUAGUGUCAGUUCUCACUGCUAUGUUUACUAUGUCUUUCCUUAUAUCUCUCAUUUCAUCAGUUAACACAACAGAUAAGUCCUGCAGCAUGCUUUUGAUUUCAGCUUUAGAUGGUAAGCAUUUUAAAUAUGAGCGAAUAUCUUCCUCUUCCUCACUUUUGCAGUCAGAGUGCUCAGUAUCACAUUCAGUUAAAAUAGGCAUAUCUGUCUGCCGAUUUCUCCCUCUUGCAGCUUUGCCAAACGAGCUUUCACUGACUAUGUCAGUGUUUUUAGCAGACUCACAUUUUUUUGCGGCCGCCAUCUUGGAUCCCCGCGUGUCUCUAUCAACAGGAUCAAAAAACUCGUCUGGAUCAGGUUUCAAAUGCAGGUUGUUAGGUGCUCACAGGGUGAGUAGAUUAACAGAGGUCUCAGACUAUGCUGCCAUUCAGUGCUGACGACAAGCCACGCCCCCAUAUGGGAGUGCAUUCAGGUUAAAAUUAGAUGUAACUUUUUAGAAAGUUGGCAGGGAAACAAAUACUAUGGCCUUAGGAUUAGCUUUAAACACUACACCUUCAACAAGUUUUUCAUCAAUGAGAAGCAACAAGAACACUUGCAAAAUCACUGUACCAAAAUGUAAGUGUAUGGGAGUGCAUUAAGGUUAACAUUAGCUGUAACUUUUGAGAAAGUUGGCAGGGAUACAAAUACUAUAAGGCAUUAGAAUUAGCUUCCAACACUACACCUUCAACAAAAUUUUCAUCAAUGAAAAGCAACAAGAACACAAAAUAACUGUGCCAAUAUGCAAUGUGAGUCUAUAGGAGAGCAUUUAGGUUAACAUUAGCUGUAACUUUUGAGAAAGUUGGCAGGGUUGUAAAUUCAAUAUGGCAUCACAAAGAGCUUCCAACACUACAACUUCUACAAGUUUUUCAUCAAUGAUAAGCAACAGGAACACUAGCAAAAUCACUGUGCCAAAAUACAAUGUAAGUAUAUGGGAGUGCAUUAAGGUUAACAUUAUCUGUAACUUUUGAGAUAGUUGGCAUGGAUACAAAUACUAUAUGGCCUUAGAAUUAGCUUCUAACACUACACCUUCAACACGUUUUUCAUCAAUGAGAAGCAAGAAGACCACUUGCAAAAUCUUUGUGCCAAUAUGCAAUGUAAUUCAAUGAGAGAGCAUUUAGGUUAACAUUAGCUGUAACCUUUGAGAAAGUUGGCAGGGUUGUAAAUUCAAUUUGGCAUUAUAAUUAGCUUCCAACACUACACA